rnacentral:rRNA from 1 species
UACCAAGGCGACGAUCCGUAGCGGGUCUGAGAGGAUGAUCCGCCACACUGGGACUGAGACACGGCCCAGACUCCUACGGGAGGCAGCAGUGGGGAAUUUUGGACAAUGGGCGGAAGCCUGAUCCAGCCAUGCCGCGUGAGUGAAGAAGGCCUUCGGGUUGUAAAGCUCUUUCGGCCGGGAAGAAAUCGCAUGGGUCAAUACCCUGUGUGGAUGACGGUACCGGAAUAAGAAGCACCGGCUAACUACGUGCCAGCAGCCGCGGUAAUACGUAGGGUGCGAGCGUUAAUCGGAAUUACUGGGCGUAAAGCGUGCGCAGGCGGUUUGGUAAGUCAGAUGUGAAAUCCCCGGGGCUCAACCUGGGAACUGCAUUUGAGACUGCCAAGCUGGAGUUUGGCAGAGGGGGGUGGAAUUCCACGUGUAGCAGUGAAAUGCGUAGAGAUGUGGAGGAACACCGAUGGCGAAGGCAGCCCCCUGGGCCAAUACUGACGCUCAUGCACGAAAGCGUGGGGAGC